ACGCCCCCCCACCCCUCCCCCACACCCCCGCCCCCUGCCCUUCCCGAAGGCAGCAGCCGCGGCCCGGAGAUAAGCGCUGGCGCGGCGCGGGGCUCUGCCUGGGCUAGUGGCACCGACUUGGGAAAAGAAAACGCCGAGACCCAGAAAACCCGUGCUUUUCCCGUAGGAAGAAGAGCGGAUCACCCCGGCUAAAGGAAGCGAGAAGACCCGCCGCCUGACACAGUCUACACAUUUGAAAUACAGCAACUUCCCUCAUGCCGAGGAAAGGCAAAAGAAUAGAAGAAACUACAAGGCGGCGAGGCAAGUUUCCUCAACGCAGAGCUGGGGCUGACGACAAUUUCCGAACUCACGGUCUCCGCAGGCGCCGCAAACAGUCGACAGGGAGAGCGGCCCACGCAGCGGCCGCCGCGCCCGUGGCCUCUACUUGCUUUGGCCCUGCUGUUCCGUGUAGUGGUUUGUUUGGGGCUUGCCGGCAGAAACAAACACACCCUCCUGACACCCCCGCCUCCCCACGCACACACAUCUUUGAUCUCUGCAACCGCCCCUCCAGCACAACGCGGGCCAGCGUUGGGGGCAGACUCUUUGUCUGCCUGAAGCCCCGCAUUCGCGGGGCGUGCAGCUGAAGCGAACCCAGCUCCCCAGCUCCUCUGAAGUUAAAUAUUGACCAGAGCCUUUCUGAAAGGGCUGCAGCUGCCCGGGAGAGGAACUCCUCCCAAAGGCCGGCUGCAAAGCCCGGCGCAGUGAAGACUUUUGGCGCAGCGCUUACCUCGAAAGAUGUCUAAGACUGAACCAGAGAUUGUCUCCAACUCCGGGCGCUCAGGGAAUCGCCUUUUCCGGUGUCCAGGCGCUCUGCGGACAAACAAACAGCAGAGGGUGAACGGCAGCUGCCAAAGAAAGGAGUUAGAGGACCGGAGUUGGAAGCGCGGCCGGCGCGGGCGCCAGGGUGGCCCCCGGGGUGACGCGGACACGGAGGAGUCGCCAGGGCACUCGUCCAUGCGGCGCACUCAUUGCUCAAAAGGUUCCAGUCUACAAAUGGCCUGAUGAUGGUGAUUUAUUUUUCUAAAAUAAAUACAUACUGCAUCUCUGCA